ACACAGUUUCAGAUGAGGUCACCUGUGACGGUUGUGGCGGGAGUCAACAUCAUGGGACACUAUGGGGUUAAACAAAGGGUUGAUGUUGAAAGAAACGACAGGAUCUACAACUCCAUAACAGAAGACACCAAAUAUGACGUGUAUAAUCCAAGAGUGUUCUGGUACACUACCCCCGUACCGGUCCUCCCAGGUGACAUGUUGAAGCUGACAUGUGAGUAUAACACAGUGGGAGUACGUGAUGAUAUCACGUGGGGAAUGGGGCCCAAACAGGAACUGUGUAAAACCAUCCUCAUCUACUACCCAAGGGAGAACUGGGACGACCACCACUGUGAAAGCUUCAAGAACAUCCCUCUGUGUGCGCUGGAGAUCGGGGACUCCGUGUUUGGGUGUACGUACCGUGGGUUCAUGCUGGCCCUACACAACGACCCGCUGUAUGACAUGACAGGCUGCGACAACACAGCGACCUGCUCUAACGAAUGUCUGCAGAAGACGAUUGCCGCCCGCUCCACGCCCUGCCUGUCUGGCGACAUGUACGACUUGUGGAAACUCAUGGCCAUGUCUUUACGGAACGAUAAACUAAUCACUCUCUUUAAAGCCCUUGUCGUCUGCGAGGAGGAAUACAUGACCGCCAUGUUGGAGGCACGGUCACAACGAGGAGGACGAGGAGGAUAGAUUAUGUACAUCUGUUCGAAUGUCUAAGUAAGGUCCAUUCCUUGCAAUGAUACUACUUUACUUUCAUUUAUGUAGGAUUCAAACAUAGUGGAAUUCUUCAUGUAUACAUAUAUACAUACUGAUCUCCAAACAAAAGGAGUCUCAUAAAAACGAUCAUUUAUGAUAAAAUAAACUGCUGUAGUCUCU
rnacentral:misc_RNA from 1 species